rnacentral:rRNA from 2 species
AACACGACUCUCGGCAACGGAUAUCUCGGCUCUCGCAUCGAUGAAGAACGUAGCAAAAUGCGAUACCUGGUGUGAAUUGCAGAAUCCCGUGAACCAUCGAGUUUUUGAACGCAAGUUGCGCCCGAGACCUUCUGGUCGAGGGCACGCCUGCCUGGGCGUCACGC